ACGGGUGAGUAACGCGUGGGAAUCUACCGUACCCUACGGAAUAGCUCCGGGAAACUGGAAGUAAUACCGUAUACGCCCUUCGGGGGAAAGAUUUAUCGGGGUAUGAUGAGCCCGCGUUGGAUUAGCUAGUUGGUGGGGUAAAGGCCUACCAAGGCGACGAUCCAUAGCUGGUCUGAGAGGAUGAUCAGCCACAUUGGGACUGAGACACGGCCCAAACUCCUACGGGAGGCAGCAGUGGGGAAUAUUGGACAAUGGGGGCAACCCUGAUCCAGCCAUGCCGCGUGAGUGAUGAAGGUCUUAGGAUUGUAAAGCUCUUUCACCGAUGAAGAUAAUGACGGUAGUCGGAGAAGAAGCCCCGGCAAACUUCGUGCCAGCAGCCGCGGUAAUACGAAGGGGGCUAGCGUUGUUCGGAAUUACUGGGCGUAAAGCGCACGUAGGCGGAUAAUUAAGUCAGGGGUGAAAUCCCGCAGCUCAACUGCGGAACUGCCUUUGAUACUGGUUAUCUUGAGUAUGGAAGAGGUAAGUGGAAUUGCGAGUGUAGAGGUGAAAUUCGUAGA
rnacentral:rRNA from 1 species